rnacentral:lncRNA from 1 species
AGACCGGGCGGGACCGGACCGCGGUUUGGGUCCAAGCCCAGCGGUGUUUGCGGCGGGUCCGGGGCCUGGAAGCGCUGGGGCGGCGCCAAGAACGAAACUGGAAAAUGGCCUUCAUUGGAAAAGCCCCAGUCCUCGGGGAGCAGAUCCCCCAUCUCUGGCAGUGCAGUGCGCCUGGGAGCUGUCUGGAACAUUCCGCAACGGUCACUCCUCUGCCCUGCAUUGGCCUUGACCACAUGACCCAGAGGCGCAGGGAGAAGCCUCCCUUGGAUGCUUGGAGAGGACUUCAGUGGCUGAGAGUGUCUAAGGAGAGCCGGGAACACCGCACGCUUCCUGCAGAUGGCAGGGCAGACCUGUGUGCAACAGUGCCUGAAGGGGAUCUCCCGUGGCACUACCUGGUCCAGGGAGGUCACGGAGAGCUCCUCCACCCUGAGCACAAGGGGUCCCACCAAGGACAAGGACAAGAUUCAGCACCGUCGCACACAGAACAGCUACCUGGAGCCACAGGUCACUUUCCAAAAAGGGAGUUUCCAGGCCAGAAGCCAUCCCUGCAGCAUUGUCUUUGUGCUCCAAGGGAAGCCCUGGCACACACUUCUGCUCAGAUGGAACCACUGUACCCUCAGUGUCCUUGUCAGUACCAGCUGGUGACUUUCCUACUCAAACCCUUCCUUCACUCUCUGCCUCAUUUUCUCAAGGUGCCGUGUUUGCCUGAAAGGACAUUGGCAGCCAGCAGGGGUGGCGGCUGGUCCUCUAGAUGGGCACGAAUGCCAUUGGCAGGCAAUGGGGCAGACUCCAUGGAAAGAUGCUUCCCUUCCUCAAGGUAUGCACUCAGCGGAGAGACCUCAUUGUCAAGUUCAGAGUUAUGCUGCAGACUGCACAGCCCCUCGCCUGCUUCUGGGACCUGCUCCGGUCAGCCCAGGACCCACCACAGCAGGACCCCCCCAUCCUGUGCUCACCCAGGGCUUGUCCAUGGCACUGGAAAGUCCUUCCUGUUCCUGAUCCCCCUCUGGGCGAGGGGUGGGCAGGGACAUGUGGCUCGUGCUGAGGUCUAAUACUGUGUUCCCAGCAUGGAAGCAGGUGGGGACACUUCUUGUGGCAUUCAGGAUUCCGUGUAGAAAGCUGUGGCCAUCACCCCUCCUCCCCACUCGGUUUUGUUAGUGGACCUUUCCCUGGCCCUUCUCUCCUUGGCCCACUCUUGGCAGGAGAGAGGAGGAGAGGAUCUCACUUUCCCCCUGUACCAGCCACACCCUCGGUCUGCGGGGUUCCCAGCAGCUGGCCAGGGAUGCUCCACACCUGGUGGCCAAGUAACCGUCCCCUCACUCUGGGCAUUUGUGCCCUCUCUGGGGUUGGAACAGGAAAGAAAGCCAAGACCUGUAUGUGGGACUUGAGUUGAGACUCAAUUCUGUAGAGUCAGGGGUGAGGAGGAGCCAGGCCUCCUGUGUGCUCUCCAUACCCCAGAGCCGGGUGCCCAGUUCCAUGGGUCCUGAUGGACAGAAGGGAAGAACGGGGGCUGCCGCACCGUGGGUGGCAAUGCAGGGGGAGCCACCUCCAGCUGAAUGCCCAGGGACUGCUGGGGGUUGCUGGCCCCUGGUCCCAGCAGUGGGUCCUGUUUCUUCUUUCCCCUCAGAAUGCAGGGUCCACCACCCCCAAACGUCCCCUCCACAUUUGGUGAAAUAGGAAGCUCCAUGGCUCUUACCCUUCCUUUAGGGUGACUGAGAGAUUUAUUUUCACAGAAGCCUCAGUGGCCUUGUCCGUACCCACCUCUGCACGUGGUUGCAGAAAGUGAAGGAUUGUCAGGGAGCAGGGCAGACAUUUGGUUUAUCUGUGUCGUUGGUCAAAGUUUUGUUUUUCCUCCAGAAGAAAAAGGCUUGUGAACAUGCCACCGUAUUCUUCAUUCCUUCUUUUGGAAAUGUAUGAAGAACGGGUGGCAUUUUGGAGUUAUUGGCCUGUGAACUGUUGGCCCAGAGGAAGAGUUAGAUGUGAGUGGGUGUGGCCGCCUCUGCCCCUCCCCAGCGCAGGUGUGUGUGGGCAGCCCAGGCAGGCGCUCAGGAAGGGUGAGGUGGAGCCUUGCACGCUCUGAGCACAAAGUCCUGGGAUCCCUUAAACCCAAGCACUGCCUUGACAGCAGCCAGCAUGGCUGAUAGAAGAGACACAGAAGUCCAGCUGAUGCCAGACAGAGGGCGUCACUAGAGAGCCGUGCUAGGUGGGGGUCAUUCAAGUUGUCUUGGUGUAUGCAGACGUUGCUUCUAUAGAGUCAGAAGCUCUAUAUGUGUAGCGUUGGAGCAGAAUUUCGGGAUAGUGAUGGCAAGCCUCCUCCCAAGUCAGCUGGGGAGUGUGGGGAGGGGUGGCCGGAGGAACCUGGUAUCCCCGGGUUAGGACCACAGAGGUGGCUCUGCCUGCAGCUCGGCCUCUGCCUCAUCCUGACUCCCCCUGCUUUGGCCAUGGCUCUUCUUGUCCUUCCUCUUCUCAGUGCAGGAGGACCCUGAAUCAAAUGCCUCAUCCUGGUUUGCAUUUUACCCUCGGAUGAAGCUUGUGGCGAACCCCAGGACUCUGUGUCUCCUGAGUCUCUGCAGACCUCGGGUCCUGGACCCAGAGACUCUUCUCCCUGGGGCAGGAGGCACUGGGGUGUGUGGAUGUGGAUGGCCUGGGGCACAGUAGCUGACGGGGGGACUUCCUAGCUUUCUGGGCCUUUCCAACUCUGAGUGUGACCUUCCUAUUCUUGAUCACAGCCCCCAACUUCGGAGCCUACUAGAGCCUGCAGAAUGCGGCUUCAUCCUCUUCCUCUGUGAGAAAAGGCGGGGCCUGGCAGUCUCGCGAAUCUUGUAUAUUUGCUCCCCACCUCGGUGGUGAAUACAUUCUUGGGUGGUGAAUACGUUCUCUCCUUGCCUUCACUCUAGAAAAGGCCCCUGUUUUGUGAUGUAGGAUGUGGUCAACGACUGACUCGUCCCUCUGGACCAUAGACACAGCUGUGAUUUCUGGUGUUCCUGGGCUCUGCACACAGCAGGAGCCACUCUGGGCUCUGUGAGGUGCAUCUUCUGUUCUUGUUGGCUCUUUUCCCUGCGUCUUCUGCCACUGCCCUGUUCUGGGUAGGAGGCUGUCACACUGUGGUGGCGGAUCCCCUCUUCUGCCUCCCCUCUUUGAUCCUUUUCUGUGAGGGUCUGCUGGGGUCCUGUGUGUCGUGCAUUGUUGAUAGAUUCCUGUUGUGCUUGCUGUCCUCCCCAUUCUAAGGGACCUCUGAUUGCCUGUGAGCAGUUUACAGGGGCCUCUCCUGGCCCCUUCACCCAAGGAAUUCCCACAACGCGUGAGUUUGUGAGGGGCGGAUCCUGGGAGUAUGUGACGUCAGGUGAGAAGGGAGGGCCCGUCCUAGUCCGGUGGGCUCCUCUAACAAAGUACAUUGGCUGGGGAGUUACUAACGCCCGAAAUGUGUUGUCAAAGUUCCGAAGGCUGAGAAGUCCAAGAUCAAGAUGCCUGAGGAUUCAGUGCCUGGUGAGGACCCAUUCCUUAGGGCAGUGCCUCUAGCUGUGUCCUCAUGUGGCCGAAGGGGACAAGGGAGGUUGCUGGAGCCUGUUUGAUGAGCGCACUAACUUCCUUCAGGAGGGGAUUAUUCAGAAAGUCUGCCUGGUUUCAGGGCAUUCCCAAAGGCCCCACCUGUUCGUUCUACCCCAUUGGGAAUUAGGCUUCAACAUAUAAAUUUGGGAGACACUGACAUUUAGGCCAUAGCGCGUCAAAGGCAAAGUGAGGCUGAGUGUGGAAAACAUCCCAGAAUCUGGAUGUGGCCCAGGCAGGAGGAAACUCAAAGUGAUGGGGUGACCGAGGUCCCUGGUCUGGGCAGGACUCAGUGGUGAGUAUGGCCCUGGGCACAGUGGCGGUGGCUUUUGGAGGAUGAUAGGGAACAUGUUGGUGGGGGGAGGGUGGAGCCCACUAUGAGUGGCAACUCCCUGGGGGCACAGGAAGCAAAGCUAGAGGUGGCUCCUCUCUCCCCUCCCUGCACACAGUGUCACCUCUGUGGUGGCCCUGUCGUCUGCCUCAGUUCACAGGUGUUGCUGUAACAACUCCUGAAAUUACCUUCAAAAGGAGGCUUGUGCAGGUGCCUGCAGGAGCCAGGAGACCGAAGUGCAUCCUGAGUGUCCGGGGACAGGCCAACCUGGCAGGGGUCCACGGCCCCGCAGUCCCAACGACUGCCUCAGAAUUGGGCAGAGAGCAUGCUUGGUUCUAGCUUGCAAGGCCCACAUCUCAGAGCUGGGGACAGUCAUGAAGGGUCCGUGAGCAUGGAGAGGGGGCAAAAAUGACCCAAGAACCUCCGGCCGCUGUGCUGCCAUCCAGCCAAGUGCAGUACCAGCCCUUCGGGCCUCGAGAUUCUCUGCCCUUCUCUGGGCCUUGCUGAUUUCCUCCUCCAGCCCCUCUGUUUGUGUACGCACAUACACACAUGCACGCACGCAUACGCACACCCAGUGCAAUUUCUCUCUGCUCCCCUGUACUCCCCCAAAUUCAAUGAGUUCCUCUUUCCUCCUCAGAGAUAUAGACCUGGGACCCAUCUCAGCCUGCAGAGGCCUGAAUCUUUUCCAGGAUUGUUUUCUAAUUCUCAGGUCCUGCUUUAAAACAAAACCUAUAACUUAAACUAAAACGCUUUCUGAAAAGAAUAAUACACCAACAUAAAGUCCGGGUAUCCUAAGGAUGCGGUGUGUAUGUUGUCUGAAAUUGAAUAUGCUGUGAAACCACCACCUGUGUCGAAUCGCAGUGUUUCCCAAGACCUGGAGGCUCUCUCCAGUUGCUAAUUGUGAUCACCUCUCCCGAUCACCGCUGAGCCCUGCAGGUCACCUUCUCCUGACCUAUUACACCACUGAUUGCUUAUGCUGGACACAAUUUUAUACCCUUGCUGUUGUUGAGUCUAAUCAUCCCCAUAACCCUAUGAGAUCAUCAUUCCCAUAUGACAGAGGAGAAAACUUGGGGACACAGGGGCUGUGUCCUGGCCAAGGCCUCGCUAGCAGCAAAAGGCAGAGCAGGAAUGCAGCCAGGAGCCCCAGCACAGUCCUGUUCUUCCCCAACUAACCUGGGCUGUGAAAUAUAUCAUGGCAGUUUGGAAAACGGGCUAACUGCAUGCUGAGGGAGGUGGUGAUGGAUGCCCACUUCUUUUCAUGGGACGAUGAGGUGUCUCCAUGUCUCCCUCAGGUCUAGCUUCUCUCUGUGGCUCAGAACCUUGGGAAAGUGGGCGGCUCAGAGGAGAAAAGGGACUUACUUGCCCAAGGGCCACAGCUGCUAAUUGGCUGGUAAGGGACCGUUAUUCUCCUGUCCCUUUCACAGAGGACAGGAGGAAAGUGAGGCCAGGUGGUGUACAUGAGUUUAGCAUCUUUUCUGCAGCAGGCCCAGAUCAGCUUUGCACAUGGUGCUGACCUCAAAUUCAGCCCUAGAGGGGCCUGUCUCUGCCCUGAGUAUUGAGGUGCAGGCUUCUUCCCCUUUGUUCUGUCCAUUUCCAAAAAUGUUAACACACACUUCCAACAUGUUUCUGUGUAUAUUAUUGUGUGCAUAGAUACUACCAUUGUAAAAUAUUAUGCAGAUUAAUAAUGCACUAUGCCAUUGAAAAUUUCAAAGGAAAUAUGUAAUAAACAUUUAAAAUAAA